rnacentral:rRNA from 1 species
GUGGGGAAUUUUGGACAAUGGGCGAAAGCCUGAUCCAGCCAUGCCGCGUGCAGGAUGAAGGCCUUCGGGUUGUAAACUGCUUUUGUACGGAACGAAAAGACUCUUUCUAAUAAAGAGGGUUCAUGACGGUACCGUAAGAAUAAGCACCGGCUAACUACGUGCCAGCAGCCGCGGUAAUACGUAGGGUGCGAGCGUUAAUCGGAAUUACUGGGCGUAAAGCGUGCGCAGGCGGUGAUGUAAGACAGAUGUGAAAUCCCCGGGCUCAACCUGGGAACUGCAUUUGUGACUGCAUCGCUGGAGUACGGCAGAGGGGGAUGGAAUUCCGCGUGUAGCAGUGAAAUGCGUAGAUAUGCGGAGGAACACCGAUGGCGAAGGCAAUCCCCUGGGCCUGUACUGACGCUCAUGCACGAAAGCGUGGGGAGCAAACAGGAUUAGAUACCCUGGUAGUCC